AUUGAACGCUGGCGGCAGGCCUAACACAUGCAAGUCGAGCGGAUGAAGGGAGCUUGCUCCUGGAUUCAGCGGCGGACGGGUGAGUAAUGCCUAGGAAUCUGCCUGGUAGUGGGGGAUAACGUCCGGAAACGGGCGCUAAUACCGCAUACGUCCUGAGGGAGAAAGUGGGGGAUCUUCGGACCUCACGCUAUCAGAUGAGCCUAGGUCGGAUUAGCUAGUUGGUGGGGUAAAGGCCUACCAAGGCGACGAUCCGUAACUGGUCUGAGAGGAUGAUCAGUCACACUGGAAGUGAGACACGGUCCAGGCUCCUACGGGAGGCAGCAGUGGGGAAUAUUGGACAAUGGGCGAAAGCCUGAUCCAGCCAUGCCGCGUGUGUGAAGAAGGUCUUCGGAUUGUAAAGCACUUUAAGUUGGGAGGAAGGGCAGUAAGUUAAUACCUUGCUGUUUUGACGUUACCAACAGAAUAAGCACCGGCUAACUUCGUG
rnacentral:rRNA from 1 species